GACAGAGGGGGCAAGCGUUGCUCGGAAUUACUGGGCGUAAAGAGCUCGUAGGUGGUUUGUCGCGUUGUUCGUGAAAACUCACAGCUUAACUGUGGGCGUGCGGGCGAUACGGGCAGACUGGAGUACUGCAGGGGAGACUGGAAUUCCUGGUGUAGCGGUGGAAUGCGCAGAUAUCAGGAGGAACACCGGUGGCGAAGGCGGGUCUCUGGGCAGUAACUGACGCUGAGGAGCGAAAGCGUGGGGAGCGAACAGG
rnacentral:rRNA from 1 species